rnacentral:lncRNA from 1 species
GAACAGGGAGAGCUACUCUUCCCUGGAGCUGCAGAGGACAACUUGUUCCACCCACGCUGCCCUGCCCCGAUCUCACAGAGUUAUGACCGCCUCGUUGCAGUCCGUUCCUAAGUUAGCUUCUCCUUUGCUGGGGUCUGAAGCCCAGACCACUCACUCUGGGAGAAAGCAACUGGCUAUGUCAUGAGGAAAUUGAAACCACCUAUGGAGAAAGGCCCACAUGGUGAGAAAGUAAAGCCUCUUCCCAAUACCAAAAUUCUGUAAGUCUGCUACGGUGACAUUUCUGGUUAGGAGUCAGAGUGGAUGGGACACUGAGCAAUAAGAAUGCAGAGACAUGAUGGCUGAAGCUGGAGCUUUUCCCUGAAGCAACCACCUGUUGGAAACUUCAUGUUGAAGAUGACUGAAUAAUAAGACAGAGGGGUCUGGGUCCCUGGUGGAUAUUCCAGAUCUGGGUGUUCGUGGAGAUAUGAGAAAGCAAUAAACUUCAAUUUUGCUUAAAUAGCUGUUACUUGGGGCAUUCUGUCAUUUAUGGACA